AAAAAUUCCUAGAAUCAUUAACUUUUUUAAAUCUUUGCCUAAGAAAAAAAACAGUAUACAAGACAUAUUGAAGAAAUUUGAAAAUGAUGAUGAAACUUGCAAUGAACUGUUCUUAGUCAUAUCUCUGCUUUUGGAGUACGUUAAUUGAAAAAGGGAAGCAAUUUUUAUUUCAGUUGACAUAAGUAUUUAUCAUAUAUUUUUCUAUAAUUUUUUUGUACAUAUUGGGCAAAUCUCUUAAUUUCAGACAUCUUCCUAUAGUCAAACACAAUAAGAUAAAAUAUUUGCAGUUAUUGACUUACCUUUUUUUUAUUUCCAAAGACAAUACAAAAAAGAACAACAGUAAGGCUAAAGAUGUACCAAAAAAAAAAAACUAGAAAUUUUAGAUCACAAACGAUGACCGACGUCAUUGCCUCAUUAAAAGUAAUCUUUUUCGCAAUACAAUGACUCCUCAAAAUCGCUAUGAAGUGGUGAGCUCGAUUCACUGGCCUUAACGAAUCAAGCAAAUAAAAAUUAUAAAGAGAGCAGUUUGGAUGUUCUCCUAGACAGUCAUUACUACCAUAAGGCAGAAUUUAGCAACAGUUGCGCAACAUGAGUUGAGAAUGGACAAAAAACUGUCAAUUCUCUGCAACAUAAUUUGUUUAAUAUACAGCUUUACAGAAUGGAAAGAUAUUUCCUUCCUCCCAAAGUAAUGAGCUUGUUCGUUCUCAUAAAUUCUACAGUUGCCAGGUAUCCACUGGUGUGCAACCCGCUUCUUUUUUAGGACCAAUCUUUGCAAGUAAUCUCGACAUUGAAGGAUUUCAUUCGAUGAAGAAGCGCUAUUUGAACUAAUGACCUGGAUUGCUGCUUGAAAAUCAGAGAAUAGAACCACUUUCUAAAA